rnacentral:rRNA from 1 species
GCCGCUCAGAAACUCAAAGGAAUUGACGGGGGCCCGCACAAGCGGUGGAGCAUGUGGUUUAAUUCGAUGAUACGCGAGGAACCUUACCUGGGCUCAAAUGUAUGUUGACGUAUUCUGAAAGGGAUACUUCUUCGGACAAUAUACAAGGUGCUGCAUGGUUGUCGUCAGCUCGUGCCGUGAGGUGUCGGGUUAAGUCCCAUAACGAGCGCAACCCCUAUCAUUAGUUGCCAUCAGGUCAAGCUGGGGACUCUAAUGAAACUGCCUACGCAAGUAGUGAGGAAGGUGGGGAUGACGUCAAAUCAGCACGGCCCUUACGUCCAGGGCUACACACGUGCUACAAUGGCCGGUACAAAGGGCAGCUACCUGGUGACAGGAUGCUAAUCUCCAAAGUCGGUCUCAGUUCGGAUCGGAGUCUGCAACCCGACUCCGUGAAGUUGGAUUCGCUAGUAAUCGCGCAUCAGCCAUGGCGCGGUGAAUACGUUCCCGGGCCUU